CGGAUAUUAGCACUAAUCUUGGAGACCACAAAAUAAAUUGGCUUAAAGCCGAGCUCGAGCGGAUCAACUCGGCCAAAAUCAAUGCACCAGGAAAAAACAACCGAUUGCUUGUCGUCCUCGGUCCGGUCUGAGCAAUCAAAUAAUCCAAGGGAGGAAACAUCAACUAUAUCGAGCACACCACACAAGCUCACACACCGUUCGCUCGCUUGCAUUUUUCUGGGCUACCCUUCCAACAUCAGAGGUUGUCUAUUUAUUUUUUGACAAUCAGAGGUUGUCUAUGCUAUGACCCUAUAUCCCAUCGCGUGUAUACCUCGAGGCAUAUGUACUUUUUCGAGAAUGUAUUUCCUUUUCAGCAGGUACCCCCAUCUGUCGAGUCUUCCGGCGGAGCUUCUCACCGCGCCCCGGACGUGGCACAGGUCUCGCUCGCGGCCUGCCCCUACUACCACCGCUGGCAGGUCGCCCCAUCACCGGGUCCAGCCUUGGCCGCUUCUUCGAACAUACUGUGUUUGAUUAAAUUAGAUCAUUAGCCAUUGAGGGAAAAAGGAAAUAAAUAUUAUCACCCUAUCAGUAUACAUAUUUAACAAAAAUAAAUAAACAUCGAACCUAAGUCAGUGGGGCCGGAAAAAUGAUAAAUGUUUCACAUUUGAGCUACAUAGUAGCGGUGACGACUAAAAUAGACCUGGUGAGAAAAAUGAUUUUGCAUGCUCAAAUAUGCAACUGGAGGGCGUGACUUGGGACCAUCAGAAGUAUUAACAUCAGGUGGCAUAAAACUGUAAUAUCAAAACCAUGGGUAGCUAAGUACAGGUAUCACCACUAAAAACCCCAAGGAAUAUGGCAACGCUAAUUACAGGUAUCACCACUGAAAACCCGAAGGAAUAUGGUAACCACGGGUUAAAGAUGAGGAAAACCAGCACUUCAUAUUAAAUCUGAAGCAAAACCCAAGGAAAAGAUAAUUAUAUUUGUUCUAAAAAUGUAAAUAUUAAAUCUGCAAGCUCCAACUGUCCGUCAUUUAGUCAAAAACAGAAACUACAAACAUGGUCAUCAUUUGGACAAAUGUUUAGCUGCAUAUAGAAUGUAUUUUGUAAUUAGAAAAUGGGUCCUAAUUAAAACAUUUAAAAGAAAUACAUGAAUAGUACCUAAAAGGGAAAUUUAAAAUAGAGACAGGACAGCUCCUCAUUUGGUGAAUGAGAUGAGAGUUGAUGCAUCCAUUCUUCACUGGAUGGUGAAGUUUUAGUAAUACGGACACCCAACAGUUUCAAAAAGAAAUCAGAACACGGGUAAGUGGAGUAAGAAACAAACCUGUGGGACUUCCAUAAAAAUUUCCUAGUCACAACAUUCUGAGAAAUGGUAUUCUGAACAUGUACUAACCGAGCCAGAAAACAAGCCAAUAAGGAGUAUACUAAGUACCAAAUCAUAGAAUCGUAAUAGGUAUAGUGUACCCACUUCUAACAAGAUAAAAUCCUAGGAGAGAAUGGAACGGCCUGCUACAAAUAAAGUAUAACCUGAAAAUAGUAGAUCCACACCAUACUACUCCUUGUUAAUACUUCUUGACAACCUAUCAUACGCCCUCCCCAUGAAAUACCCAGUUGAUGGAGAAUUUUGUUUGGCGCGUCACCCACAAUAAACAGAGAACAAGUCGCUAAGAAAAAGCAAAAAGAUAAAAGACUAAAACUUCACAAAUAACAUACUAGAAUUUUGACCAAAUUUACAUGGUACACACUGUAAACAUAAACACUAGCACUGUAAAAAAACAGUAUUAGAUGCUACAAGCGAUGGACAUGCAUAAAGUAACCAACUACACUGGCCUAUGAAGCUAGCAACCAAGUCAUGAAUGCCAAAUUUUCUGAAUCUGUAAACACAUAGAAAAGUUCAGAUAACGAGUGUAAUUAUAGUAAACCAUGACUGUAACUUUUAAUUUUUAAAACUCUAAACUUACAGAAAAAUCAGAGGAAUACAGAAGCUCAAACUACGUAAAUUUCAACCAAAUUUACACAGAACUCCAUGGUGGUCGGCCUCCUGGUGGUGGCGGCGAUGGGGCAAGGGGGGUGAAGGCGGCCUGGGAGCUCCUCCUCCUACUGCAAGUCAAGGCCGACCCUCCCCGUAGGCAAGUCAAGGCCGACCCUCCCCGUAGACCAGCGGGCUUGCCACCGUCCUAUAGAGAUUUGAGAGGGAGUGGUGGGUGGCAGCCAGGAUCUCAACCCCUCCACGGAUCUCAAAUCAGGAGGAUGAGGGUGGAGGCAGCUGGAUCUAGCACCGGUGGGGGUCAUGGUGAUUCUGGUCCUCCACGGAGCGCGGCAGGUUCAGAUCGGAGAAGAGUGUGGCCGGUGAUGGCUGGGGGGCGGUAGGACCUUGCUGCUGUAGCACAGGUUGUAGGAGGAGGUGAAGGUAGAGAAGGCGGUGGUGGAGGAAGGAGGAGGGUGGACAACUGGACAUUCAAACGCGACCAUGAAAUAGGCCUGCUAAAGCGAGACAGUGCCACUAUAAGGAAAAACGGGAGCUCCUGUUUGACGCUCGUUAGCGUCAAACAGGAGAGCUUCCGCGCAGGGCUCGCGCAAAC
rnacentral:rRNA from 1 species